AGUCCGGGCUCCCAGGGCAGAAGUGCCAGGUAAUUUCCUGGGAAGGCGUGAGCCUACGGAAAGUGCCACAGAAAAUAUACCGCCUUUUGAGUCAUCUCAGAGGGUAAGGGUGAAAUGGUGCGGUAAGAGCGCACCGCGCGUCCGGUAACGGACGUGGCAGGGAAAACCCCGCUCGGAGCAAGACCAAAUAGGAAUCCAUGCCGGUUGUGAAGCCGGUACGUAUGGCCCAUACGGGAUUCGGGUAGGUCGCUUGAGGCACACGGUGACGCGUGUCCCAGAUGAAUGAUUGUCCGCGACAGAACCCGGCUUAAACUGGCG
rnacentral:RNase_P_RNA from 1 species